GGCCUCACUGCCUGAGAGCUUAUACAAUGUUUGAUCUACCAACAUGGUGCUCUGUAUCAUAUCACUUGAGACCUAAGGACCCACUUUAUGGUAAAGAAGGAAGACAGUGGGCACAUGACCACAGGACACAAUUGUCCUUUAACAUACCAUGCCACAUAGAAUAUCCUGCCCAAUAGAGUGAUGGAAUGGACUUUGAAGCUCAUCUCAGGUGCCAGCUUGAAGAUGAAACCCUUUGAGGAGAAGGCCCAGUACAUAUUAUAUACCAUAAGACAAAAACGUCCUAAUAAGAAGAUAAGGUGACCGAAUAAGGGGAUUACUUGGCAGAGAUAUGAGAGAACUGGGUUCUUGACCCCACUUUGCCAUGAACUUGGUUUCAUCUCUUACCAAGAAGUUUCUUAUAUCAUUUCCAUGAAUUUUGUUAUGCUUGCACAACAUACCGUGAAACAUUCUGUUGGAAAAUGUGACAGAAAAGCCACUGAGAAAAUGCAGAAUUCAGGCCAAUUCAAACAAAGGACACAUUCUCAAUGGCUUUCUGGAAUGCUAAGCGUGAUGAUGGGCCACCUUACUGCCAACCUGUGCUUUUUGGAUGUAUCCAACUUAUGUACUGAUUAUAUGAAAUCUGGACUAUCUGCCUUGCCUGCUGUCUUCCUAAUAGACAGUGCUACAAAGAAUACAGCUGCUCAGUCCACAUGAACCCAUCAUCAACCAUAAAUGCCAAAGUGCCCUCCUAUAAAAGCAAAGUCUUUAUGACUCCACAUAUGCAAGACAUUUUCAUGACUGGUAAUAGAAGCUGAAAUAUGAGUUGUUAAUACCAUAUACAUUUUGUUCUGAAAAAGUAAAAUGUGGUGUUAUGCCCUGGGCACUUCUGAAAACUCAAAAUUCCUAGGUAUUUAGAAGUUUCAACAACCCCAUACAUAGCCUUUUCCUAGUUCUCUAUUGAUGAUUCAGUGGGCCUUGAACUUCUGUGAAAAGCUGCAAUCUCUUUAAAGCAGAAAAACAGAUAAGAAGAAAAACUAGCCUUUUACAAUGGAAGGAAAAUAGGGUCCCGGGAAUGGCCAUGAAACAAGGAAACAGAUCAAGUAUGUCCUAUGGUUAUGUAUUAUUAACAUGACAGAUGAAGAUAAGAUUAUGAAUUGAAUCUCUGCCAAUGCAAAGAUUGAGGAAAUGAAGCAAAGGACAUAAACUGUGUAGGAUGGUAAAGUGUUAUAAUUGGUGUUACUUGCUUUUGUUGUGAAGAAAGUGGGAUCUGACUAUGUCUGUGAGGAAGGAUAUGUAAAUUUGUAUGUAUAUAUAAUGAAUAUAUACUAUAUAUACACACACUAUAUAUGUACAUACUAUAAUAUAUACGUAUAGACAUUCACAUAUAUGAAUAUACAUGCAUAUAUAUAAAACCAGAUGGAUGGUUAUAUAUCUUCUUCCCUAGUUUGUUCUUACUACAUUUGAUGUAGAUUUGUUCUAAUUGGUGCCUUAAAUAAUUUGGCCUAGACCAUAAUAAAAACACCCAGUUCUAAGGAGUUUGGUUCUACAAUUUUAAAAUUUAUUUAUACACUAAGGUUGGUUAUGGGCAGGGCGGUGAAAUCAUUUGAGUUGUAAAAUUGGGUAAGAGAAAAGUUUUACUGAUUUGAUAAAAACCCAUCUGAGUGCUUGCUACGUUCAGCAUUUAUGUGAGACUCUGUCAGGUAGAAAUAUGUCACUGAAAGGCAUCAGUUCUUUUGCAAUCUGGUCUGAAAUAUCUGAUGGGAAAUGAAAAGCCAUUAUGGCUACCUGGUAGCAAGUCCAAUUACAAAUGACUCCAGAGCCCUCUGCAAUGUGACCUGACUCUAAAUCGUCCUUUAGGAUUGUCAUCCAGUCUGCUGGCCCUCUGCUUUCUGCCUACUCACAUGUAAUUGGGAAAUGGAAGGUACUUAUCUAUCUUGUUGAUGGCACUGUGCUCAUUUGAUAACAGUUGCUCCACAAGAGCACAAGAAGGAAAGUGCAUUUGCUGUAGCUAUAAGUUUACUCACUGAAGUGAGUAAAUCAUGGAUAUUGCAAUUGGACAAAUAGACAUUGGGAAGAGGGGGUGGGGUAAUUGGACUUUUUCUUUUAAAAAGGAACAAUAAAAUAAACCUUGUUCUUCACCCUCUUUACUUGACUUCUAUUAUCUUAUUUAUGAAAAAUACACACAAAAGAAGAAAGAAAUAUGAAACUAGUAUCGAAGGAGUUAGAAAGAGACAGUCAUUUGUAUUCUUGGCAGAAGAAGAAUCUAAACUAAAUAUUAGGAGUAACUUUCACUCUCUUGAUACAGACAUCCUUCAAGAAUUCUCCUUUCGUAGGAGGAAGCUGUCUUUCUUUUCUUGUCCCAAUACUACACUGAAAAUGCUAUCUUUUUUUCUUUGCUCUGGAGUCAGCCUAGUUAGGGAGUCAAGGCUUGUUUUGCAGUAGAAUACUGCACCAGGCUCGUUUCAUGUUGAUCUUGCAAAAUUCGGAGUUGUGAAUAUUCACUGCAGGUGUCCUGCUAAGGGAGUAAAUUUUCACAGACUAAACAGGCACUAAAGAAGUCCAUUCAGAUGUAAGAAUUGAAUGUAGGGGUUUUAUGUUUUUAUACAUUUUUUAUGAAUUAUAAAAAAUAAAUGAACAAAAACCAUAUCUGCAAAUAAUCAGAGGGAUCUAAAACCAUGUUUAGAGAUUUGCAGAUAAAAAUUUUCACCUCAGCAAGCAUUGAGGAAUGUUUUGUUAAAGUGCUGUCACAGUCAUAAAAGCAAUGAUUUUACAUCUUUUAUUAGCGCUUCUGAUUUAGAAAGCUGAAAAGCACAUUGAUUCAUAUGUGAAAAUGAAA
rnacentral:lncRNA from 1 species